UACGUAGGGGGCAAGCGUUGUCCGGAAUCAUUGGGCGUAAAGAGCGUGUAGGCGGCCCGGUAAGUCUGUUGUGAAAGUCCAGGGCUCAACCCUGGAAUGCCGAUGGAUACUGCCGGGCUAGAGUUCGGAAGAGGCGAGUGGAAUUCCUGGUGUAGCGGUGGGAAUGCGCAGAUAUCAGGAGGAACACCGGGUGGCGAAGGCGGGACUCUGGGCCGAUACUGACGCUGAGGAGCGAAAGCGUGGGGAGCAAACAGG
rnacentral:rRNA from 1 species